rnacentral:rRNA from 1 species
AUUGAACGCUGGCGGCAGGCCUAACACAUGCAAGUCGAGCGGCAGCGGGAAGUAGUUUACUACUUUGCCGGCGAGCGGCGCACGGGUGAGUAACGCGUAUGCAACCUACCUAUCAGAGGGGGAUAGCCCAUUGAAAGAUGGAUUAAUACCGCAUAAAACAGGGGUCCCGCAUGGGAGUAUUUGUUAAAGAUUAAUUGCUGAUAGAUGGGCAUGCGUUCCAUUAGUUAGUUGGUAGGGUAACGGCUUACCAAGACAUCGAUGGAUAGGGGUUCUGAGAGGAAGGUCCCCCACACUGGUACUGAGACACGGACCAGACUCCUACGGGAGGCAGCAGUGAGGAAUAUUGGUCAAUGGGCGAGAGCCUGAACCAGCCAAGUCGCGUGAAGGAUGACUGCCCUAUGGGUUGUAAACUUCUUUUAUUGGGGAAUAAAAAAGGGUAUGUAUACUCUAUUGCAUGUACCUAAUGAAUAAGCAUCGGCUAACUCCGUGCCAGCCGCCGCAGUAAAAC